rnacentral:rRNA from 1 species
CAGCAGCCGCGGGAAUACAGAGGGUGCGAGCGUUAAUCGGAUUUACUGGGCGUAAAGCGUGCGUAGGCGGCUAAUUGAGUCGGAUGUGAAAGCCCUGGGCUCAACCUGGGAAUUGCAGUGGAUACUGGGUCACUAGAGUGUGGUAGAGGAUAGUGGAAUUUCCGGUGUAGCAGUGAAAUGCGUAGAGAUCGGAAGGAACAUCUGUGGCGAAGGCGACUAUCUGGGCCAACACUGACACUGAGGCACGAAAGCGUGGGGAGCAAACAGGAUUAGAUACCCCGGUAGUCCCUGUCUCUUAUAC